ensembl:snRNA U2 U2 spliceosomal RNA
AUCGCUUCUUGGCCUUUUGGCUAAGAUCAAGUGUAUUAAUGGGAAAACAAUACGAUAAAAAAUAUACUUUCAUAGUGCAUUUCUAAUUAAUAUCUCAAGAGGGUUUAGACAUUUUUAAAGAGCAGUUUUAGACUCAGA